UGGCUGAGUGGUAAAGCGCUUGGUUUCUGAACCAAGUGAUCCCGGGUUCGAAUCUCGG
rnacentral:tRNA from 1 species